rnacentral:tRNA from 2 species
GCGAGAGUGGUGGAAUGGCAGACACGCUAGACUUAGGAUCUAGUGCCUUACGGCGUGAGGGUUCAAGUCCCUUCUCUCGCA